rnacentral:rRNA from 1 species
GAGUAACACGUGGGUAAUCUACCCUUGAGUGUGGAAUAACACAGGGAAACUUGUGCUAAUACCGCAUGACACCGUCCGGUCAUUGGAUCGGGCGGUCAAAGCUGGGGAUCGCAAGACCUGGCGCUUGAGGAGGAGCCCGCGGCCGAUUAGCUUGUUGGCGGGGUAAUGGCCCACCAAGGCUCCGAUCGGUAGCCGGCCUGAGAGGGUGUCCGGCCACACUGGGACUGAGACACGGCCCAGACUCCUACGGGAGGCAGCAGUGAGGAAUUAUGCGCAAUGGGGGAAACCCUGACGCUGCGACGCCGCGUGGGUGAUGAAGGUCUUCGGAUCGUAAAACCCUGUCGAGAGGGACGAAUAGCUUGGGUGUUAAUACCAUCCAAGCCUGACUGUACCUCUGGAGGAAGCCCCGGCUAACUCCGUGCCAGCAGCCGCGGUAAUACGGAGGGGGCGAGCGUUGUUCGGAAUUACUGGGCGUAAAGCGCGCGUAGGCGGUCGUGCAAGUCGGAUGUGAAAGCCCUCGGCUCAACCGAGGAACUGCGUCCGAUACUGCUCGACUUGA